UGGAUGUCUUGGCGUUGGGAGGCGAUGAAGGACGUGGUAACCUGCGAUAAGCCUGGGGAAGCUGGUAAACGAGCUCCAAUCCCAGGAUUUCCGAAUGGGGCAACCCGGCCCGUAUGGGUCACUCUUGUCUGAAUGCAUAGGGCAAGAGAGCGAACCCGGGGAACUGAAACAUCUCAGUACCCGGAGGAAAGGACAUCAACCGAGACUCCGUUAGUAGUGGCGAGCGAACGCGGACCAGGCCA
rnacentral:rRNA from 1 species